CCUACGGGGCGCAGCAGUGGGGAAUAUUGCACAAUGGGCGAAAGCCUGAUGCAGCAACGCCGCGUGAGCGAUGAAGGCCUUCGGGUCGUAAAGCUCCGUUCUUAAGGAAGAUAAUGACGGUACUUGAGGAGGAAUCCCCGGCUAACUAAGUGCCAGCAGCCGCGGUAAUACGUAGGGGGCUAUCGGUAUACGGAAUUACUGGGCGUAAAGGGUGCGUAGGUGGUUUCUUAAGUCAGUGGUGAAAGGCUACGGCUAAACCGUAGUAAGGCGUUGAAACCGGGGAACUGGAGUGCAGGAGAGGAGAGUGGAAGUCGUGGUGUAGCGGUGAAAUGCGUAGAUAUUAGGAGGAACACCAGUUGCGAAGGCAGCUCUCUGGACUGUAACUGACACUGAGGCACGAAAGCGUGGGGAGCAAACAGGAUUAGAUACCCUUGUAGUC
rnacentral:rRNA from 1 species